rnacentral:ribozyme from 1 species
UGCCCAGCAACUCCUAUCCCUACCUCCUCGCGGUACUGGCCGGGGUACGAGUAACCUUAGGGAAGAUCGGGUAACCAACCCCCGGUGGGAACUAGGGUCGUAUGCUGACAGGGAAGG